rnacentral:rRNA from 1 species
ACAGCAGUCGCCACGGUAAUACGAAGGGGGCUAGCGUUGUUCGGAAUUACUGGGCGUAAAGCGCACGUAGGCGGAUAUUUAAGUCAGGGGUGAAAUCCCGCAGCUCAACUGCGGAACUGCCUUUGAUACUGGGUAUCUUGAGUAUGGAAGAGGUUAGUGGAAUUGCGAGUGUAGAGGUGAAAUUCGUAGAUAUUCGCAGGAACACCAGUGGCGAAGGCGGCUAACUGGUCCAUAACUGACGCUGAGGUGCGAAAGCGUGGGGAGCAAACAGGAUUAGAUACCCCCGUAGUCCCUGUCUCUUAUAC